CUCAAGGUAGUAAAAUUAAUACGUCGGAGUUAAGUUCCGAAGAUAGGUAAUAUAACCUCCAUGAGA
rnacentral:tRNA from 1 species